UAGAUGGGCCAGAUUAUAAAGAAAAGCUUGGAACAAUUGUCAGCCACCUUUACAAGCUCGCCUUCAAAACCUAUGCAGAUAUACCUAGAGGACCAGUUAAGGAUAAUUUGAUGCGAAAAUUAGCCUGCAAAACUUUAAUGGAGAUUCUGCCCCAGGAUGUAACCCAGAGGGUACAGGCGGAGUUGGACGACAAGAAACUCUCCAAGGAUUUCGACACUGUCAUGGGUCUAGUAGUCGGAUAAAAUGGACAUGCGGAAAUAUUCACAAAUAUUCGGAAAUACUCGGAAAUAUUCGGAUACCUUAGAAAACUUUCAGAAAUAUUCGAAAUAUUAUAUUUGGAAACAAUUUUUGGAUUUAAAAACUAUUUUUUUAAAAAAUGAAAUUGAAAAUUAUCUAAUUUGACAUCAUAAUAUUUAGGGGGAAUGUAUCAUUGAAUUCGGAAAAUUAUUUAAAAUUCCUAAAAGUUUUCUUUAUUGAGAUCUUGAUGCACAAAAAGUAUAAAUAAAAAUGCAUAUUGCAUAUUUGUGUAAAUAAAUCAUUAAAGCCUAAAAUUAAUCUCUUUUAUUCUCAUUAACCAAAAGAGAACUUUUUUAAGAGAAUUUAAUUAAAGAAGA